GGUUGAAUGUUCCUGGUGUUG
rnacentral:miRNA from 1 species